rnacentral:tRNA from 1 species
GGCCGCCUGGCGAAAUGGUAUCGCGUCUGACUACGAUCUGUACCAAUCAGGAGAUUGCAGGUUCGAGCCCUGCGGUGGUCA